CACAUAUCAAUCAUGUAUGACCUGAACCUUUCAAAUUCCUUAACAGAAUGUCCAGAUCGGUGAAAUGCAGUUCCUCUAAAAAAAUGAAUGAGAGUGAUUGUAGGUACAGUAGUAUGACCAGAAGUAUGGUUGAUGAAACUACAGGUUACUGUCCAGAAUCAUAUUCUUGGGCUCUGCAUUGCCAUGUGCAUACCAAGGUGCCUGAAACCCCAAAGUGAUUAUCUCCCAAAUAAUUACUAACCAAACAGGAAGAUGACGAAGGAUUCCAAUAGCUAAAUUAACAUACAAGUAUUAAUAGCAACAAUUCAGCAUGAGAAAUAGAAGAUUAAAAAGAGGAGUCAUAAUGUGUGGUAUCACUUACCUUAGACUGAAGCUUGGUUAAAAAGAGUGCAGUCACCGAUUAAGCUUCGUUCCUCAUAGCAGCUAGAAAUCAUUUCAUCCAAAUUGUGGCACAUCACACUUUUUUUACAUCAUUCCACUACGGUGCUGCUUCAAAGAAUUAUUGUGUCUGGACCACAACGCCAACGGAACCCAUCCUGCCCAACAACUGUGAGAUGAAGUGAGCAGUUAAAGUAAAGAUAAAUCAUGGAAUGAGAGUAUAUACCGACAACCGUACUCUGUAGUGAGCAGUUAAAGUAAAGAUAAACAGGCAGCAAACGACACAUCAAGAUCAAGCGAACAACAAUUAGAUCAUAUCACGAUGAGGAGAGCAUGUGCCACUACCUUGUCAGGUUAUAUGUCAAUGAUGGAACUGAUUACUCAUCGGCGUCGGAGCGUCAAUGGCCACCAUGUCUCCAGAGCCAGUGAAGGCCGCUGGUGUAGUAGGAGAGGAGGUCACUCCUGGUCUGCUUGGCUAUAAGGAGGUGAAGCAAGAGGAAAUACACGUCGCCCCUGCGGCGGAGGUGGGGU
rnacentral:lncRNA from 1 species